rnacentral:rRNA from 1 species
AACCUUUACAAUGCACGAAAGUGUGAUAAGGGAAUCCUGAGUGCUUUGCUUUUAGCAAGGCUUUUGUCAAGAGUAAAAAUCUUGAUGAAUAAGUGGUGGGUAAGACUUGUGCCAGCCGCCGCGGUAACACCAGCGCCACAAGUGGCAACCGCUAUUAUUGGGCCUAAAGCGUCCGUAGCCGGUUCAGUAAAUUUCCUGUGAAAUCGUUAAGCUUAACUUAACGACGUGCAGGAAAGACUACUGGACUAAGGGACCGGGAGGCGUCAGAGGUAUUCCUGAGGGAGCGGUAAAAUGCUAUAAUCUCAGGAGGACCCCCUGUGGCGAAGGCGUCUGACGAGAACGGAUCCGAUGGUGAGGGACGAAAGCCAAGGGAGCGAACCGG